rnacentral:rRNA from 1 species
GCAAGUCGAGCGAAAACAGGAAGUAGCUUGCUACUCUGCUGACGAGCGGCGGACGGGUGAGUAAUGCUUGGGUACAUGCCUUGAUAUGGGGGACAACAGUUGGAAACGACUGAUAAUAGCGCAUAAUGUAUACGGACCAAAGGGGGCUUCGUUUCUCGCCUUUAGAUUGGCCCAAGCGGGAUUAGGUAGUUGGUGAGGUAAUGGCCCACCAAGGCGACGAUCUCUAGCUGGUUUGAGAGGAUGAUC